rnacentral:rRNA from 1 species
GACGAACGCUGGCGGCGUGCUUAACACAUGCAAGUCGAACGGAAAGGCCCCUUUGGGGGUACUCGAGUGGCGAACGGGUGAGUAACACGUGCGUAACCUGCCCUUGACUUCGGGAUAACUUCAGGAAACUGGGGCUAAUACCGGAUAGGAAUCCUUGCUGCAUGGUGGGGGUUGGAAAGCUUCGGCGGUUUUGGAUGGACUCGCGGCUUAUCAGCUUGUUGGUGGGGUAGUGGCUUACCAAGGCUUUGACGGGUAGCCGGCCUGAGGGGGCGACCGGCCACAUUGGGACUGAGGGGCGGCCCAGACUCCGACGGGAGGCAGCAGGGGGGAAGAUUGAACAAUGGGCGGAAGCCUGAUGCAGAAGCGCCGCGGGCGGGAAGACGGCCUUCGGGUUGAAAACCGCUUGCAGCAGGGGCGAAGCUUGUGGUGACGGUACCUGCAGAAGAAGCACCGGCUAACUACGUG